UAGCUCAGCUGGGAGAGCACCUGCCUUACAAGCAGGGGGUCGGCGGUUCGAUCCC
rnacentral:tRNA from 1 species